rnacentral:rRNA from 1 species
AUUGAACGCUGGCGGCAGGCUUAACACAUGCAAGUCGAGCGGGGGGAGGUAGCUUGCUACCUAACCUAGCGGCGGACGGGUGAGUAAUGCUUAGGAAUCUGCCUAUUAGUGGGGGACAACAUUUCGAAAGGGAUGCUAAUACCGCAUACGCCCUAAGGGGGAAAGCAGGGGAUCUUCGGACCUUGCGCGAAUAGAUGAGCCUAAGUCGGAUUAGCUAGUUGGUGGGGUAAAGGCCUACCAAGGCGACGAUCUGUAGCGGGUCUGAGAGGAUGAUCCGCCACACUAGGACUGGGACACGGCCCAGACUCCUACGGGAGGCAGAAGUGGGGAAUAUUGGACGAUGGGGGGAACCCUGAUCCAGCCGUGCCGCGUGUGUGAAGAGGGCCUUUUGGUUGUAAAGCACUUUAAGCGAGGAGGAGGCUACCGAGAUUAAUACUCUUGGAUAGUGGACGUUACUCGCAGAAUAAGCACCGGCUAACUCUGUGCCAGCCGCCGCCGUAAAAC